rnacentral:lncRNA from 1 species
AUGAUAUGUGCGCUUUGGUUGUAGGAGCAUGAUUUUGAGGUAUAGGUUUUGAUGAAUUACAAACAAUGAAGUCAAGUGUCAAACAACGAUAUUAUAUGACAAACAAUCAAGCUUGAAUGCCGAGAAGCAUAUUGAUGAACGGAUUGCAUUGGAAAAGCCAAAGACGAGCCCAAAUGUUCAAGAUCGAAGACCCAAGGCGUAGGUCGUUAGGUAGAAC